CAAAGAGUCUCAAUUCCAGCUGACCCUGCAAAGAAGGAUUGUAGCUUGCAUAAAUGGUAACAUCAAUUAUUAUGCUUUCUAUGCAGGUGACAAAUACUCAACCCAAACUAGCUAAGCCAGAAAUGGAGUUUUUUUUUGGCUCACCUAACUAGGACAUCCCAAGGGGGUCUGGCACCAUCAGGCAAAGAUUGAUCCUGGGUCCAAAAGUGCUGCUAAGCUCUCUCCAUCUCCAUUGUUCUCCUCUACAGCUCCAGUCUGACUUUCCAGCUUUGCAGUGUGGGGUGCUGUUGAGGGAGCAGGUGUUUAAGAAGAAGCAUAGAGUCAGCCUUCCUAGGAGAAGGGAAUCAUUGACUGUGGACAGAGGGACAUGUUGCCCGGACUCCGUGGGGUUGUAACUCUACACCUACCAUCCAGAGUAGCUGCAGUAGUGUGUGUAAACUGGCUCUAAAGAAUAAAUUCACAAGAGCAGUACUGCUUUGCAGCACUUGCCAAUUUCUGUAGUAUAAACACUCCC
rnacentral:lncRNA from 9 species